AGAGUUUGAUCCUGGCUCAGGAUGAACGCUGGCGGCGUGCUUAACACAUGCAAGUCGAACGAUGAUCCCAGCUUGCUGGGGGAUUAGUGGCGAACGGGUGAGUAACACGUGAGUAACCUGCCCUUAACUCUGGGAUAAGCCUGGGAAACUGGGUCUAAUACCGGAUAUGACUCCUCAUCGCAUGGUGGGGGGUGGAAAGCUUUAUUGUGGUUUUGGAUGGACUCGCGGCCUAUCAGCUUGUUGGUGAGGUAAUGGCUCACCAAGGCGACGACGGGUAGCCGGCCUGAGAGGGUGACCGGCCACACUGGGACUGAGACACGGCCCAGACUCCUACGGGAGGCAGCAGUGGGGAAUAUUGCACAAUGGGCGAAAGCCUGAUGCAGCGACGCCGCGUGAGGGAUGACGGCCUUCGGGUUGUAAACCUCUUUCAGUAGGGAAGAAGCGAAAGUGACGGUACCUGCAGAAGAAGCGCCGGCUAACUACGUGCCAGCAGCCGCGGUAAUACGUAGGGCGCAAGCGUUAUCCGGAAUUAUUGGGCGUAAAGAGCUCGUAGGCGGUUUGUCGCGUCUGCCGUGAAAGUCCGGGGCUCAACUCCGGAUCUGCGGUGGGUACGGGCAGACUAGAGUGAUGUAGGGGAGACUGGAAUUCCUGGUGUAGCGGUGAAAUGCGCGGAUAUCAGGAGGAACACCGAUGGCGAAGGCAGGUCUCUGGGCAUUAACUGACGCUGAGGAGCGAAAGCAUGGGGAGCGAACAGGAUUAGAUACCCCCGUAGUCC
rnacentral:rRNA from 1 species